AAGAAGUGCUCCGAAGUUUCUGAGCUCAGGUUCACUACCUGGUGAAACUCAACUUCCAGGACAAGCGCUCCGUAGCUUCUGCGCUCCAAGUCCACUACCUAAUGAAACUCGACUUCAGAGACAUGUGGUGAAUAAGGAGGAAGAGGACGAGGAUUUCUGCUCAGUAAAACCCGAGGUGGUUAACGGUGGUUGGAAGUGGUCGGAGUUGAACGAGGAGGAGGAUGAGGACUUGUGCUCGGUAUAACCCGAGGUAGUUCGCGUUGGUUGCGGGUGAUCGAGGUGGGCGAGGAGGAGGACGAGGAUGACGAGGACUUGUACACUUUCUGUGCCCCACGUGGUGAUCCACUAGUACACAUCCUCCGAUGUGACAUCGCUGUGCUACGUAUAAAGAAGAAAAGAUUUAUUAAGGUGCAAAUUGCUCCUCUCUUCUUGCCAUUGUGCUUUCAGCCAUUGUUGUGCUGUGUGUUUAAAAUUUAGGACAGUACAUAAUAUAGAAUAACAGGUACAGCUACGAAUAUAGCACUGCAAUAAAUCUUAUAGGAAUGAGCUCACAUUGAGAUUUCUCUGUAUUUAUAACUCGACGCGAGAAGGCAAAAAUCAAUGUAAUGCCAUCUGUAAGGUAAUUGGACUCGUAUUUGCACUACGAGAACUCGUUGGGCAUUUUGC